rnacentral:rRNA from 1 species
CCUACGGGUGGCUGCAGUGGGGAAUAUUGGACAAUGGGGGGAACCCUGAUCCAGCCAUGCCGCGUGUGUGAAGAAGGCCCUCGGGUUGUAAAGCACUUUCAGUGAGGAAGAACGCCUGGUGGUUAAUACCCAUCAGGAAAGACAUCACUCACAGAAGAAGCACCGGCUAACUCCGUGCCAGCAGCCGCGGAAUACGGAGGGUGCGAGCGUUAAUCGGAAUUACUGGGCGUAAAGCGCGCGUAGGUGGCUUGAUAAGCCGGUUGUGAAAGCCCCGGGCUCAACCUGGGAACGGCAUCCGGAACUGUCAAGCUAGAGUGCAGGAGAGGAAGGUAGAAUUCCCGGUGUAGCGGUGAAAUGCGUAGAGAUCGGGAGGAAUACCAGUGGCGAAGGCGGCCUUCUGGACUGACACUGACACUGAGGUGCGAAAGCGUGGGUAGCAAACAGGAUUAGAUACCCUUGUAGUC